rnacentral:rRNA from 1 species
UACGGAGGGAGCUAGCGUUAUUCGGAAUUACUGGGCGUAAAGCGCACGUAGGCGGCUUUGUAAGUUAGAGGUGAAAGCCUGGAGCUCAACUCCAGAAUUGCCUUUAAGACUACAUCGCUUGAAUCCAGGAGAGGUGAGUGGAAUUCCGAGUGUAGAGGUGAAAUUCGUAGAUAUUCGGAAGAACACCAGUGGCGAAGGCGGCUCACUGGACUGGUAUUGACGCUGAGGUGCGAAAGCGUGGGGAGCAAACAGG